UACGGAGGGGGCUAGCGUUGUUCGGAAUUACUGGGCGUAAAGCGCGCGUAGGCGGGUUGGUAAGUCCGCUGUGAAAGCCCGGAGCUUAACUCCGGAGGGUCGGUGGAUACUGCCAGUCUUGAAGGUGCUAGGGGGAGAUGGAAUUACCGGUGUAGCGGUGAAAUGCGUAGAUAUCGGUAGGAACACCAGUGGCGAAGGCGGUCUCCUGGGGCAUUCUUGACGCUGAGGCGCGAAAGCUGGGGGAGCAAACGGG
rnacentral:rRNA from 1 species